GACGAACGCUGGCGGCGUGCUUAACACAUGCAAGUCGAACGAUGAUGCCCAGCUUGCUGGGUGGAUUAGUGGCGAACGGGUGAGUAACACGUGAGUAACCUGCCCCUGACUCUGGGAUAAGCGUUGGAAACGACGUCUAAUACUGGAUACGAACACCGGCCGCAUGGUCUGGUGGUGGAAAGAUUUUUUGGUUGGGGAUGGACUCGCGGCCUAUCAGCUUGUUGGUGAGGUAAUGGCCCACCAAGGCGACGACGGGUAGCCGGCCUGAGAGGGUGACCGGCCACACGGGGACUGAGACACGGCCCAGACUCCUACGGGAGGCAGCAGUGGGGAAGAUUGCACAAUGGGCGAAAGCCUGAUGCAGCAACGCCGCGUGAGGGAUGACGGCCUUCGGGUUGUAAACCUCUUUUAGUAGGGAAGAAGCGAAAGUGACGGUACCUACAGAAAAAGCACCGGCUAACUACGUGCCAGCCGCCGCCGUAA
rnacentral:rRNA from 1 species